CCCGGGGCCAUACUCUCUACAGAAAACCUGCUGGCCUAUAACACACCUAAAUCAAACCAAAGUCUAUAUAUAUAACAACUCACCUCCAAACAAAACUACACUGUUCCAGAAACCAUGAUCUCCGGUUGGUGAUGGGCAAUCAGAACAAACUAACUAUGACUUUAACACACCAUCUGGCGCCCCUUCCUUUAACAUCUCCAACUAAAACCGGGAUAUCUAUUCAGCAAAGGAUAUAAUUUCCUCUCUUAGAGCCUUAGGUGAUUUUACGAAGAUGCAGGAAGAACAAAGUAAUUAUAAUCUGACGAUCCAGUAGUCGUGUUAGAACAAUGUAAGAGGUUCUUCCAAUUCAAAAGGUCUACAGUUUUUAUCAAAUGACAAGAGGUCUAAAGCUUAGUCAGUGUACAGAACGUACUAUUCCAGGAAAAGUGUAUGUUCACUUUAAUAGAAAGUCUUAAAAGGCUUAAGAAGGCUCCUUCACAAGGAUUAUACAUACUAAAGGUGGGAGAGGGAGCAGCAUCGGUUUCUUCACGUGUUCUAUGAAAGGUUAUAGCUAUCUUCAGAAUCUCUCUUUAUGUUUUUCAGCUCUAUGCCUUUUGUAAUGACUGGUUGUUGUUGGACUCGAAUCCUUUGAUUAAAAGAGAAAGUUAGAAUCAGUGAGAAGAAGAGGAAGCAAGAGAUCGUAAUUUUCCAUAAGAGAGGAAAAAAGAAGAAGAUGACAAGAACACAGAGAGUUCAUGUCUAGAGGAAGAAGAUGAGUCAAUGACAAGAAGAAGAAGAAGUCAAGAAAAAAGUCUAAGAAGAGUGGCGUUAAGAAGUAAUGGGCCGUAAGUUUGGCUAAGCCAACACGAAAGAGUGUUGUGUUGGUUAGAGUCUAAUGUGAGUUGCUUAAUUAGAGGUGUAAGUGUGUGUGUAUGUGGAAGUGUAAAAGGAUCCAAGUUAUCAAUGUAAAGUGUAAACAAUCUGUGCUUCA